AAUUGCUACCGCAGUUGAUAAAACUGGUAACCUGGUAAAACCCUACUUACAUGCACCUGCAUACUUGACAGUAACUCAACCUGACCCAUAGACGAGACAGUGAAUAAAACAUGACUGGAUAAGAAACCACCAGUUAUGCAACUGCAAACAAAUUCACAAAAUGCUUUAAGACUAAAAUAACAUUUUUAACCACGAGAGAAAUGCAGAAACCAACAAGUGAUGACCUUUCAUAGCAACGGAUACAUAUAUUACAGCCAACUGCAGGUGUGCAGUUUAAAUAUUUGUAGAAUCUGUAUGGAUUCUCAUGUGUGCAUUUAAAUUUGAUUUUAUAUUACAUCUGUGUCCACAAAGUUCACAACAGAAAGGUUUCUGUCCAGUGUGGAUUUUCAUGUAUGUGUUUAAACUAGAUUUUACGGUGAAUAGUUGUCCACAGACAUCACAACAGAAAAGUUUCUGCCCUUUGUGAAAUUUCAUGUGUUUGGUUAAACUAGAUUUUUCAGUAAAUGUGUGUCCAUAGAGAUCACAACAGAAAGGCUUCUCUCUUGUAUGAAUUCUCUUGUGUGUUUAAGUGUGAUUUUCCGCUGAACCCAUGUCCGCAAAGUUCACAACAGAAAGGCUUCUCUCCUGUGUGAAUUCUCAUGUGUGUGCUUACAUGUGAUUUUCGGCCAAAUCUUUGUCCACAGACAACACAACAGAAAGGUUUCUCUCCUGUGUGAAUUCUCAUGUGUCUGUUUAAACAGGAUUUUUCGACAAAUCUAUUACCACAGAUAUCACAGCAGAAAGGUUUCUCUCCGGUGUGGUUUCUCGUGUGUGUUUAAAUGUGACUUCUGCUUGCAUCUGUGUCCACAAGGUUCACAACAGAAAGGUUUCUGUCCUGUGUGGAUCCUCACAUGUGCGUUUAAAUAUGAUUUGCAGCUGAAUCUGACUCUGUAAAGGUCACAACAAAGAUCUUUCUGUCCUGUGUGGAUCUUCUCAUGCCUUGUUAAAGCUUCUUUUCCGGUGAAUGUUUUAUCAAUGUCUUCACAGUUAAGCUUCAAUUCUGUCUGGACUUUCCUUCGUGAGCACAUAUUUUUCUUCUCAGUCAAACAUUCCUUAUUCUCCAGCGAGGUUGGCCCCAUUUCGGAAUCUGUGUUUCUGGAGAGACAAUACAGUAGAAGUACUUUAUUCAUCCCAGCAGGGAAAUUACUGAACAAUGAACAAAUUCUUCGGCAACAUCAGAGGAGCUAAAAGGCUUGUUAAAGUUUUUAUUUGACUUAGGAGCUCUACUCUCCUUCCAUUCAGGUUCUAAGGAGUUGGAACCAUCUCCAUCUGUCAUGAUUGGUUAUCUGCUAUUGUUCUCUUCUGGAGGCUAUCUGUCUUUAAUUUGGUCUUGAUAAAGCUGUGAGUGCAAAGGGGAAUGUUUAUCAUCCUCACUCUUUAUGGCAGUAGCAGUGACUGAAAACUUGAAGGCAUGACUCUCCUCGUUCUCUCAGAGCUGCUCUCCACCCAGACUAAUGCAGACUCCCUCCUGUUCCUCCUUUA